GAGACAAAAUUGACUUUUGUGAGACAAAAUUGACUUUUGUGAGACAAAAUUGACAAAAUUGAAUUCUGUCUCACAAAAGUCAAUUUUGUCUCACAAAAGUCAAUUUUGUCUCACAAAAGUC
rnacentral:sRNA from 1 species